rnacentral:rRNA from 1 species
CCUACGGGAGGCAGCAGUGGGGAAUAUUGGACAAUGGGGGCAACCCUGAUCCAGCCAUGCCGCGUGUGUGAAGAAGGCCCUCGGGUUGUAAAGCACUUUCAGUGAGGAAGAACGCCUGGUGGUUAAUACCCAUCAGGAAAGACAUCACUCACAGAAGAAGCACCGGCUAACUCCGUGCCAGCAGCCGCGGUAAUACGGAGGGUGCGAGCGUUAAUCGGAAUUACUGGGUGUAAAGCGCGCGUAGGUGGCUUGAUAAGCCGGUUGUGAAAGCCCCGGGCUCAACCUGGGAACGGCAUCCGGAACUGUCAAGCUAGAGUGCAGGAGAGGAAGGUAGAAUUCCCGGUGUAGCGGUGAAAUGCGUAGAGAUCGGGAGGAAUACCAGUGGCGAAGGCGGCCUUCUGGACUGACACUGACACUGAGGUGCGAAAGCGUGGGUAGCAAACAGGAUUAGAUACCCUAGUAGUC